rnacentral:rRNA from 1 species
CACGUAGGGGGCGAGCGUUGUCCGGAUUUAUUGGGCGUAAAGAGCUCGUAGGCGGUUUCGUAAGUCGGAUGUGAAAACUCCAGGCUCAACUUGGAGACGCCAUUCGAUACUGCGAUGACUUGAGUCCGGUAGGGGAGUGUGGAAUUCCUGGUGUAGCGGUGAAAUGCGCAGAUAUCAGGAGGAACACCGGCGGCGAAGGCGGCACUCUGGGCCGGUACUGACGCUGAGGAGCGAAAGCGUGGGUAGCAAACAGGAUUAGAUACCCUGGUAGUCCACGCCGUAAACGGUGGGCACUAGGUGUGGGAUUCACUCAACGGAUUCCGUGCCGCAGCUAACGCAUUAAGUGCCCCGCCUGGGGAGUACGGCCGCAAGGCUAAA